GCCUUCCAGUAUAGUGGUUAGUGUCGCUGUCUACAGUGCCGUAGAACCUGGGUUCGAUUGCCGGGGAAGGCA